AGCCUGAGGACGAAAUCUUAGGUAAAUUCUGCCCACUGCAACGUAAAAGGCCGCAGUACUUUGACUGUGCUAAGGUAGCGAAAUCAUUAGGCUUUUAAAUGAAGCCCGGAAUGAAGGAAACCACGGAAAGGAGCUGUCUCUUUUUCCUGAAAGGAAGUUAGUUGUAGGGUGAAAACACCCUCUUGUAGAUAAAAGACGAGAAGACCCCAGGAGCUUUAAAAUUAGUUUUUGUUGGGGCAACACAGGAACAAAGAAACUUCCUGACGCUAAUAGGCUAGUCAAAUGGUUUUCAGAGCAAGCUACCCUGGGGAUAACAGCAUUAUUUUUUAAAAGCUUGUGACCUCGAUGUUGGACUAGGGACUAUUAGACUAGAAGUCUAAUUAGCCGGUUCUGUUCGAACCUCUCACCCUACGU
rnacentral:rRNA from 1 species